rnacentral:rRNA from 1 species
UUGCCAGACUCCUACGGGAGGCAGCAGUGAGGAAUAUUGGUCAAUGGGCGAGAGCCUGAACCAGCCAAGUCGCGUGAAGGAUGACGGCCCUACGGGUUGUAAACUUCUUUUGUCAGGGAGCAAUUGGGUCCACGCGUGGGCUUAGCGAGAGUACCUGAAGAAAAAGCAUCGGCUAACUCCGUGCCAGCAGCCGCGGUAAUACGGAGGAUGCGAGCGUUAUCCGGAUUCACUGGGUGUAAAGGGAGCGUAGACGGCCGUGCAAGCCAGGAGUGAAAGCCCGGGGCCCAACCCCGGGACUGCUCUUGGAACUGUGCGGCUGGAGUGCGGGAGGGGCAGGCGGAAUUCCUGGUGUAGCGGUGAAAUGCGUAGAUAUCAGGAGGAACACCGGCGGCGAAGGCGGCCUGCUGGACCGCGACUGACGUUGAGGCUCGAAAGCGUGGGGAGCGAACAGGAUUAGAUACCCUGGUAGA